GAUCCUGGCUCAGGAUGAACGCUAGNGGCAGGCUUAACACAUGCAAGUCGAGGGGCAGCAUAAUGGAUAGCAAUAUCUAUGGUGGCGACCGGCGCACGGGUGCGUAACGCGUAUGCAACCUACCUUUAACAGGGGGAUAACACUGAGAAAUUGGUACUAAUACCCCAUAAUAUCAUAGAAGGCAUCUUUUAUGAUUGAAAAUUCCGAUGGUUAGAGAUGGGCAUGCGUUGUA
rnacentral:rRNA from 1 species